AUGAUGAUGCCACUGACUCUACUGCUGGGCACCCUGGGGCUCCUUGUUCAGGGUUCAUCUGGACAAAUCAGUGUGACUCAGUCUCCUGAAUCUCAGUCUGCUGUUCCAGGACAGACUGUCAACAUCAGAUGUAAAAUCAGUUCAGAUGCUCUGAACUAUUGCCACUGGUACCUUCAGAAAUCUGGAGAAGCUCCUAAACUCCUGAUUUAUUGGGGUACAGGCCGUCAGUCUGGAAUUCCAAAUCGUUUUAGUGGAAGUGGAUCAAACACUGACUUCACUCUGACCAUCAGUGGAGUUCAGGCUGAAGAUUCAGGAGUUUACUACUGUCUGCAGAGUCGCAACCUGCAGUUCACACAGUGA